rnacentral:lncRNA from 10 species
UUUGUUCUUUGUGAUAAAUCUUGCUGUUGCUCACUCUUUGGGUCCACACUGAGUUUAUGAGCUGUAACACUUAUGAGCCAGCGAGACCACGAACCCACCAGAAGGAAGAAACUGCGAACACAUUGGAACAUCAGAAGGAACAAACUCUGGACAUCCUGCUUUUAGGAACUGUAACACUCACUGCGAGAGUCUGCGGCUUCAUUCUUUUAGUCAGUGAGACCAAGAACCCACCAAUUCCGGACAGGGCAUCUACCUAGAAGUCAGCAGCUCAGUGGAGUCUUUCCUGGUAACCCGACCUAAAAUCCCCAAACUGCCAAGAAUUGGUGUACAAAUAUCACGGACAGUGGGAAAAACAAUGAAUGCUGCCUGCUUAAGUCACAAGGUGAGUACUGGUAUUGCUACAUCACUUUUGUGUGUGCUACACAUUUCA